AUCUGUUUGAUUUCUUCAAG
rnacentral:snRNA from 1 species